UCCAAAAGAAGACGCUGGGUGUCCGAGA
rnacentral:sRNA from 1 species